AUAAAUUUCUAAAAUCAUUACAAAUCAAGUCUAAAAAAGCAUCACCAACAAUAAAUUAUAGCAAAGUCACUCCUAAAAAUUAUAACUAAACAAUCUGAAUAUAGUCAGUAGGCUUACACUUAGGAGGCUCAUACUUUGACAUCCUCUGAAUCAACUUUGGAUUAGUAGAUGCUUCCCAUAGAUCCCACAUAGUCUUUAUCCGAGCUUCCCAGAUGUUAUCAUCACUCACCAAUGAUAUGUCUAACCCAAGCAUGUGGCAUUCAAUGUGUUUUAUAGUAUACACACCACAAUGACAAUUAAGUCGGUUAAGACCACUCAUAGGUACAUAGGACACAGUGAAUGGAGUGAUGGUGAGAUGAUUAUGUAUUGUCAAUGACUAAACGACCUUGACAAUCCGAGAAAUAAGAUGCGUGAAAGCUUCCACUUCCUUGAUUCUUUUUCUACCCCCGCAAUCAAACACCUGGAUAUUCCUAGUCACAAAACUGAUGCAUAAAGCGAUCCAAUGGUUGCAAUUGACCCAUACAUGAAUGUACAUCCGA
rnacentral:lncRNA from 1 species